rnacentral:tRNA from 2 species
GCAGAAGCUCGUUGCUUUGGGCGCCUAGCUGUUAAUUAGAGUUGUCGUGGGAUCAAAGCCCACCUGCCUAG